UUAUUAUAUAUUAUUUGGAAUAUUUCAUUUCAUCCCAUUGUCGCAAAGAAUGUUGUAUUUCACCUUUCAUUGGAACACAUUUCAUCCAUA